rnacentral:rRNA from 1 species
UACAGAGGUCUCAAGCGUUGUUCGGAUUUACUGGGCGUAAAGGGCGCGUAGGCGGUCGUGACAAGUCACUUGUGAAAUCUCCGGGCUUAACUCGGAACGGUCAAGUGAUACUGUCGGACUAGAGUACAGAAGGGGCAACUGGAAUUCUCGGUGUAGCGGUGAAAUGCGUAGAUAUCGAGAGGAACACCUGCGGCGAAGGCGGGUUGCUGGGCUGAUACUGACGCUGAGGCGCGAAAGCGUGGGGAGCAAACAGG